GAUGAACGCUGGCGGCGUGCUUAACACAUGCAAGUCGAACGAUGAAGCUCAGCUUGCUGGGUGGAUUAGUGGCGAACGGGUGAGUAACACGUGAGUAACCUGCCCUUCACUCUGGGAUAAGCAUGGGAAACUAGGUCUAAUACCGGAUAGGAGCGCCUACCGCCUGGUGGGUGUUGGAAAGAUUUAUCGGUUUUGUAUGGAUUCGCGGCGUAUCAGCUUGUUGGUGAGGUAAUGGCUCACCAAGGCGAUGACGCGUAGCCGGGCCGAGAGGGUGACCGGCGACAGUGGAGGUGAGAGACGGCACAGAGUCCGACGCGAGGCAGCAGUAGGGAAGGGUGCGAAAUGGGCGAAAGACUGACGGAGGAACGACGCGUGAGUGAUGAAGGGCCUCGGAUGGUAAAACGCUGUUAGGAGGGAAGAACAAAUGUGUAAGUAACUAUGCACGUGUUGACGGUACGUAAUAAGAAAGCCACGGCUAAUUACGU
rnacentral:rRNA from 1 species